rnacentral:tRNA from 1 species
GGAGUUGUGGCUCAGUGGUACAGCACUUCCCAGCAAGUAGGAGGCCCUGGGUUCAAUUCUCAGCACUGCA